CCUACGGGAGGCAGCAGUGAGGAAUAUUGGUCAAUGGGAGAGAGCCUGAACCAGCCAAGCCGCGUGAGGGAAGACGGCCCUAUGGGUUGUAAACCUCUUUUGUCGGAGAACAAAACCCGGGACGUGUCCCGGACUGCGUGUAUCCGAAGAAAAAGCAUCGGCUAACUCCGUGCCAGCAGCCGCGGUAAUACGGAGGAUGCGAGCGUUCUCCGGAUUUAUUGGGUUUAACGGGUGCGUAGGCGGUCCGUUAAGUCAGCGGUAAAAUUGCGGGGCUCAACCCCGUCGCGCCGUUGAAACUGGCAGACUUGAGUUGGCGAGAAGUACGCGGAAUGCGCGGUGUAGCGGUGAAAUGCAUAGAUAUCGCGCAGAACUCCGAUUGCGAAGGCAGCGUACCGGCGCCAGACUGACGCUGAGGCACGAAAGCGUGGGGAUCGAACAGGAUUAGAUACCCCAGUAGUC
rnacentral:rRNA from 1 species